rnacentral:rRNA from 1 species
CAGUCGCCGCGGUAAUACGGAGGGGGCUAGCGUUGUUCGGAAUUACUGGGCGUAAAGCGCACGUAGGCGGCUUUGUAAGUUAGAGGUGAAAGCCCGGGGCUCAACCCCGGAAUAGCCUUUAAGACUGCAUCGCUUGAACGUCGGAGAGGUGAGUGGAAUUCCGAGUGUAGAGGUGAAAUUCGUAGAUAUUCGGAAGAACACCAGUGGCGAAGGCGGCUCACUGGACGACUGUUGACGCUGAGGUGCGAAAGCGUGGGGAGCAAACAGGAUUAGAUACCCCUGUAGUCCCUGUCUCUUAUAA